rnacentral:tRNA from 2 species
GGCCAUAUAGUGUAGUGGUUAGCACGCAGGAUUUUGAUUCCUGAGUCCCAAGUUCAAUCCUUGGUAUGGCCU